AUUAUUUUAAAUUUAAGCACUGCAUCACUGCCUAUCUCAUGGUGCAUCUACACUGUAGAAUGAAUGUAGUUUGAUACCACUUCAUUGCAUCAAACAGAAUAUUUGGACGAAUCCAUGCUUAUGUUUUUCAUUUUGUUUUCUAUUGCGGACAGAACAACAUAUCAUUUUGUGGAUGAAACACAAAAUUAAUCCUUUAGAAAAGAAAAAAGAAAAGAGCUGAUUUUCUACGAGGCUGUUUCCCACCCACUCUAAUUGACUGGAGAUUUUCCAGUGUGAGAAGAAUUACAUUUCCUCAUGGUCCCCUAGUCUCUGGAUUCCUUUAACCCUCACACUAUAAACAAGGCUCAAUCCAAGCUCUUCUGCUGUCUGAGGCAGGAGCAAAGGACCUCUCAAAACACUGCUAGUAGAACAGUCAGCUCCCUGAGGUGAGGAGAUACAGAGGAAGUGUCCAGAUACCAAAGCAGAAAAAUCAUCUGCAGCUGUCUCCUCACCUAUUCAUUGGCCAGCUUCCCAUCUGAGCAACCUCUGCCUAUCUAGAAGAAAGGGGCAAAAGUGUCCUCUGGUGACACCUCCACUCAAAUGUGAAGGCACUGGAGAUCUCUGCUCCCGAAAGCAUUGAAUUUCUGGCUUUAGCGAUGGGGUUGUUCAAAAGAUCAUCUGUGAAACAAUAUAACUGUCCUGUCUCUGGAAAAAACAAGUCCUUCAGGAAGAGAUUAGAACAGGGUGAGACAGUCACAAGGGAAAUAGUUCAGUCUAGGUCAUACUCAAGAAGGUUAUCCAAGAAUAUAAGGGAAGUGGAGUACUAAGAUCACAAAUGUUCUGAAGUCAAGGAUGGGAGGCACAGUAAUGGUGUUCAAAGUUAUAGAAGGGGCAAAGGCAAGACAUACCACAGAGGUGGGUUGGGAUCAGGGAUUGCAAGGAAUUAAAUGCAUGGAAAAAUAUCUUCAACUUUGUGAAACAAUUGUAUGCAACAAGAACACAUUUCAGCCAUUGGGAGAUUUCUAGCUGCUUGAUAACACCAGGUGGCUAAUUUUUCAGGAUUUCCUAUUUAUACCUUUGCAAGAUAUGUUGAUUCUGUUGGCACUGUUGUUUUCCUUGUCCUCAUGAUGCAGAUGAUAGGACAUCUCCUAAAUGUCAAUUAUUUCUGACUGAGGUGGGACCUCUUCUUGUUGAAAGUAUUUAUAAUCUAUAUCUGGACCAGGCUGCCCAGGAUUUGGAGCCAGAAGGAUCAGCACAUCUGACACCUUUCAGUUGGAUUCCAGUCAAUUUUCCUCAUCAUCCUGGCCUCAGAUCCAUGCACACAAAGCAGAUAACUACACAAAGCAAGGGAGGUAGUGGGCUGUCAAAAUGUUGUCAUUGUCUUCCUCUGCCAGGGAUGCUUGGGUAGACAUUAAAUGGUAAGUGGGGAAGGAGGUACAGCCAUAGCUUUCACUCUUCUAAGAUAACAGUUGUGCUUCUAUGCCAGUUUCCACUGUGUGAUAAAAUCCUGGAAAUCAAAUGAAUUAAUAGCAGGAAACCAGGUGAGGGAAAUGUUGGGGAGAGGAGGGCAGAGAACAGUUUUGCAGGACGACACACUCACAAUUUUAUCAUCAUUGCUUCAACAAGAGGAAACUAUCCUUACUUCAACUAUAACUAACAAAUCUUUAAAAACUGACAAACGGAUCAAAUAAAUCUAUAUCAGACCUUUUUAUAAUUUGCAAAAAGAUAUAUGGGAGACACAGCAAACAUCUGGAAAGUGGUUCUCUGGCCUGAUGAGACUAAAACUGAAUAUUUAUGCCUUAAUAAAAAAUGCAGUGCUUAUUGUCCUGAGAACACCAUACCCAUUGUGUAGCAUCAUCUUCUGGGAAUGCUUUCUCUUUACAAAAACUGGAAAGCUUAUCCGAAUUGAGGGCAGGAGGGAUGGAACCAAAUAAAAGAUAAUUCUAGAUGAAAUUCUGUUCCUGACUUCAAAAAGCUGGGUGGAGGUUCUCAUUUCAGCUGAACAAUGCUUUGAAACACAUAGCCAAAGAAACAUUUAGUGGUUACCUAAAAGCCCUUAGAAUGACCCAGUGAGAGCUUAUAUUUGAGUUCAAUUGAGAAUCUCUAGUGAAACUUGAAAAGUGGCUGUACAACAAUGUGCCACAGUGCAAUUUUACCAAGAAGAAUAGUCAAAAGUUAAAGGAUCCAGAUAUACAAAGCUAAAAAAAGACUUAGCCAAAAAAAUCUCAACAGCUGCAAUUGUUGCCAAAGGUGUUUGUACCAAGUAUUGAUUUGUGUGUGUGUGUGUGUGUGUGUGUGUGUGAAUUAGGAUGUUGUAUAUAUCUUACUAUAAGGGAAGGCCAUUAUUUGGGGGACAGAAAACUUGUCCCUUAUAAUGCUGGCAAGUAUUCAUUAUUAUAAGGGACAUUCCCUACUGGAGGACAUGAAUGUCUUUCAUUUCAUAUAGACUGAAUAAAAGGCCAAAAAUAAAUUCUUGUAUUUUAGAGUGUGGGCCCUUACUAAGACAGAAAUGUGUGCAUGAUGUAAUUUAUGGUAUUUUUUAAUUGCAGUUUUUUAAAAGAGUAGGCAUAUGUUAAUUUUGCAGAUAAAUGGAAGACUAGGGGUCUUUACAGACAGGCCCUAUAUCCCAGGAUCUGAUCCCAGGUUUUCUGUUUAUCCCAGAUGAUCUGGCAGUGGGGACUCAUAUAAUUCAGUUUAAUACAGAAAACCUGGGAUCAGAUCCUGGGAUAUAGGGUCUGUCUGGAAGGGCCCUAAGUGAGCUGAAAUCAGUACUUUCCUUUGGUUUUGAAGAAAAACUCAUCUUUGUUCAUAACUGCUUGAUUAUUGUCAGCCCUGCACAUCAUUAAUUUUGGCUGUCUCGUAUUGCUAUUUUCUCAAUUUUGUGAGUGUCUUGUGUACAUCAAGUGAUAACAAUAGCAAAUAAAUUCAUAUCAAUCCCAAGUUGUAACUUAACAAAAGGUAGAAAAGUUCAAAAGACACUGUCUGAAUAUUAUUGCAAGGUAAAUUCGAUGUUCCAGGGUAAUGUCCAUAUCAACAUCUCUUAUAAGUAGUUUAUUGCCUUACAUGAUCAAUUAUCGGUGGAAAAUAUUGACUGAAUGUCCAGGUUGAAUGUUGAACAUGAAAUCUACACAGAAAGUCUUCCCUGAAAAGGACUAUUUACCUUUCUUAGGGUACUUUGAUACCAAAAACUUUUUUUUGUGGAUUUAGACCUUGGGAAUAAUAAUCUGUUAAUUAAAACAGUUCUUUAGUGUUUUGACCUUUUCAAAAUUCUGCCUUUUAACAGGAUGAUCAGCCUUCUUUUUGAUAGGUAAGCUUUUUGUGCAGGUUGCCCUUUUGAUGUAGAAAUACUAUCAAAUGAGCAAGUCACCAUAUGAUAUCUGAAAUGCUAUAGUCACAUCACACAAAUGUAUGAAACAUUGUGAAAUAUUGCAACAUGCUUGUAUUUUGUAUCUGGGAAACAGUCCAAGCAUAUUUUUUGACUAAACAAAAUGAUUUUGUCUUAUAUUUAAAUGAACAUAAGCAGGUUGAAAAACAUCUUAGUGCUGUCCUGAAAGCUCUUGAUCAGGUGCUAGGGCAAGACUUUUCAUGAUACUGUAUUGUACUACAGUGUAUCAGAAAUUGUGUUACCGCUAGAGUGGUAGACCUUGCCUUUCCAGGACCUACUUUUUGUUCUUCCCAGAACUUUGUCACCAACCAGACUGCUGAAAAGGAUCUACAUUUAGGAUUUUAUUGCACAACGGUGACAAACUGAUACUGAAGUAGGACUGUCAACUUUAGUGAUCAUUCCUAUACACAACUCAUUGCCAAUCUGCCUCCCUUGUGAUAAACCCAUCUUCUGUUAUUGAUGGGAAAAUGUGAUUAUAGUCACAAUCACAUCAGGUUUUUGUCACCUACCUUAUGUGAUGAGUCUGUUGUGCUUCUGUGCAGGCAUGCACAAUAAUUCAUAGAUAACAACAACAACAACCAUUUACUAAUUGCUGAAUUGCAAAAUUGCUUUAAAAUAUAUAUUUAAAAAAUAUGUACCAGCAGUAUUGUGGGAGGGCAGAGUUAACCAGAGAUACAGCCAUGGGACCAUGGAUCAGUGAAUUGUCCUAGUUGCUUGAAUCCGGAGAUGUGCAAUAGUGAGGGUGCUCAUCUUGGUACGUUGCUGCUAUCUGCGAUCACAUAACUGCCAUGGAAUAGUGGCUUCAUGUGACAAAGAUCUUUAAAAAAGAAGGGAGAGACCGGGGCUUUGUUAUGAAUACUAUAAUUGAAUAAACCUCAAAGAUCUGCACAAAAAUACAUCCUUAUUUAGCUCUUCUUCCAGCAAUAGCAAUUGGGGAGUAAUAAUUUUGGUUGAGACUUUGUUGCCGUUGUUGAAGAAUUUGCAACCAGAAAUUCUUGGUAUCAAUCCUUUGACAAUCAACCAAUAGGUCCCGCUUUUACCCAUCAUAGAAUCAUAGAAUAGUAGAGUUGAAAGAGACCUCAUGGGCCAUCCAGUCCAAUCCCCUGCCAAGAAGCAGGAAAUCGCAUUCAAAGCACCUCCGACAGAUGGCCAUCCAGCCUCUGCUUAAAAGCCUCCAAAGAAGGAGCCUCCACCACAGUCCGGGGGAGACAUAAGAAGCAAUGAAUAAAAUGUUGUUAUGCCUAUUCUACUUUAUAUGUAAACAUUUUUUAAAAAACCUUGUGAAAAAAGUGUUCGAAUAAAGGAUGUAAUGCUGUUCUGUAAAGUUGAAAACAGGCUUUCAGUGAAUGAGAAAAGCUUCCUAUGACUGGAAGAUAUCUUUUGAGUUUAAACUUUUGUUUCAAGAGCAUGAUAAAUUGAGAUGCUUGCUUGGUUAAUCUGGGGGACUUUAAAUUGUGUGGAAAUAUGAAGGAAAUAUGAAUUUUAAUCAAGCUGUAGUUUUGAUUGUUUCAAACACAGAAAUAGUGGCUGGCUUGUGUUUGUUUCUUUGUUUAUAAUACUAAUAUUUGGGGUAAAAA